GAUGAACGCUGGCAGCAUGCUUAACACAUGCAAGUCGACUGGAACCUCGGGUUGUGUGGCGGACGGGUGAGUAACGCGCAGGGAACUUGCCUGAGAGAAAGGGACACCAUAUGGAAACGAAUGCUAAUACAUGCUAUUAUGAUACUAUGGCAGCGUAUAAGUAUGAUAGCUUUAUGGGCUGUGGGAGAGCUUUGCGUCCCAGUAGCUAGUUGGAGAGGUAACGGCUCACCAAGGGGAUGAUGGGUAGCCGGCCUGGGAGGGGGCUCGGCCACAAGGGGCCUGAGACACGGCCCGAACUCCUCCGGGAGGCAACGUUGGGGAUUUUUCGCCAAGGGACCAAGCGUCUUGUCCAGCAAUUCUGUGUGCACGAAGAAGUUUUUCGUAAUGUACAGCGCUUUCAGGGGAGAAGAAGAAAAUGACGGUACCUACAGAAGAAGCGACGGCUAACUACGUG
rnacentral:rRNA from 1 species